rnacentral:rRNA from 1 species
UAUUGCACAAUGGGGGCAACCCUGAUGCAGCGACGCCGCGUGAGUGAAGAAGUAUUUCGGUAUGUAACGCUCUAUCAGCAGGGAAGAACAUGACGGUACCUGAUUAAGAAGCCUCGGCUAACUACGCGCCAGCAGCCGCGGUAAUACGUAGGGGGCAAGCGUUAGCCGGAUUUACUGGGUGUAAAGGGAGCGUAGACGGCAGCACAAGUCUGGAGUGAAAUGCCGGGGCUUAACCCCGGAACUGCUUUGGAAACUGUGCAGCUAGAGUGCAGGAGAGGUAAGUGGAAUUCCUAGUGUAGCGGUGAAAUGCGUAGAUAUUAGGAGGAACACCAGUGGCGAAGGCGGCUCACUGGACUGUAACUGACGUUGAGGCUCGAAAGCGUGGGGAGCAAACAG